UACGAAGGGGGCUAGCGUUACUCGGAAUGACUGGGCGUAAAGGGCGCGUAGGCGGUUUGCUUAGUUAGGCGUGAAAUUCCUGGGCUCAACCUGGGGGCUGCGCUUAAUACAGGCAGACUAGAGUGUGAAAGAGGGUCGUGGAAUUUCCAGUGUAGAGGUGAAAUUCGUAGAUAUUGGGAAGAACACCGGUGGCGAAGGCGGCUCACUGACCCGUAACUGACGCUCAUGCACGACAGCGUGGGGGAUCAAACAGG
rnacentral:rRNA from 1 species